rnacentral:rRNA from 1 species
ACUAGCCUUACGGAACGGUCCCGCGUGAGGAUGACGGCCUAUGGGUUGUAAACCUCUUUUUUCAGGGAGGAAUAAAUGACGUGUACCUGAAGAAUAAGCAUCGGCUAACUCCGUGCCAGCAGCCGCGGUAAGACGGGGGAUGCAAGUGUUAUCCGGAAUCACUGGGCGUAAAGCGUCUGUAGGUGGUUUAAUAAGUCAACUGUUAAAUCUUGAGGCUCAACCUCGAAAUCGCAGUCGAAACUAUUAGACUAGAGUAUAGUAGGGGUAAAGGGAAUUUCCAGUGGAGCGGUGAAAUGCGUAGAUAUUGGAAAGAACACCGAUGGCGAAGGCACUUUACUGGGCUAUUACUAACACUGAGAGACGAAAGCUAGGGUAGCAAAUGGGAUUAGAUACCCCAGUAGUCCUAGCCGUAAACAAUGGAUACUAGAUGUUGAACAGAUCGACCUGUGCAGUAUCAAAGCUAACGCGUUAGUAUCCCGCCUGGGAAGUAUGCUCGCAAGAGUGAAACUCAAA